rnacentral:rRNA from 1 species
AAAAAAGGUAAGCUACUAAGAGCGAAUGGUGGAUGCCUUGACUGGUAAAGGCGAUGAAGGACGUACUAGACUGCGAUAAGCUACGGGGAGCUGUCAAGAAGCUUUGAUCCGUAGAUUUCCGAAUGGGGCAACCCAAUGUAUAGAGAUAUACAUUACCUAUAUAGGAGCGAACGAGGGGAAUUGAAACAUCUUAGUACCCUCAGGAAAAGAAAUCAAUAGAGAUUGUGUCAGUAGCGGCGAGCGAAAGCGCAAGAGGGCAAACCCAGUGCUUGCACUGGGGGUUGUAGGACUGCAAUGUGCAAGAGCUGAGUUUAGCAGAACAUUCUGGAAAGUAUAGCCAUAGAGGGUGAUAGUCCCGUAUGCGAAAAACAAAGCUUAGCUAGCAGUAUCCUGAGUAGGGCGGGACACGAGGAAUCCUGUCUGAAUCCGGGUCGACCACGAUCCAACCCUAAAUACUAAUACCAGAUCGAUAGUGCACAAGUACCGUGAGGGAAAGGUGAAAAGAACUGAGGUGAUCAGAGUGAAAUAGAACCUGAAACCAUUUGCUUACAAUCAUUCAGAGCACUAUGUAGCAAUACAGUGUGAUGGACUGCCUUUUGCAUAAUGAGCCUGCGAGUUGUGGUGUCUGGCAAGGUUAAGCAAACGCGAAGCCGUAGCGAAAGCGAGUCUGAAUAGGGCGCUUAGUCAGAUGCUGCAGACCCGAAACGAAGUGAUCUAUCCAUGAGCAAGUUGAAGCUAGUGUAAGAACUAGUGGAGGACUGAACCCAUAGGCGUUGAAAAGCCCCGGGAUGACUUGUGGAUAGGGGUGAAAGGCCAAUCAAACUUCGUGAUAGCUGGUUCUCUCCGAAAUAUAUUUAGGUAUAGCGUUGUGUCGUAAUAUAAGGGGGUAGAGCACUGAAUGGGCUAGGGCAUACACCAAUGUACCAAACCCUAUCAAACUCCGAAUACCUUAUAUGUAAUCACAGCAGUCAGGCGGCGAGUGAUAAAAUCCGUCGUCAAGAGGGAAACAACCCAGACUACCAGCUAAGGUCCCUAAAUCUUACUUAAGUGGAAAACGAUGUGAAGUUACUUAAACAACCAGGAGGUUGGCUUAGAAGCAGCCAUCCUUUAAAGAAAGCGUAAUAGCUCACUGGUCUAGUGAUUUUGCGCGGAAAAUAUAACGGGGCUAAAGUAAGUACCGAAGCUGUAGACUUGCGCACAACUUAGAUUAUUUAAGUUUAGAAUAUGAGAAACUAAGUUAUAUUUUUACUGAUUUUUAUAGAGUAAAGAUAGAAAUAAAACUUAGUAAAAUCAGUAAAAAUAUUCUUAGGCUAAAGUUAAGUAGUUUAAGUUGUGUGCAAGUGGUAGGAGAGCGUUCUAUUUGCGUCGAAGGUAUACCGGUAAGGAGUGCUGGAGCGAAUAGAAGUGAGCAUGCAGGCAUGAGUAGCGAUAAUUAAUGUGAGAAUCAUUAACGCCGUAAACCCAAGGUUUCCUACGCGAUGCUCGUCAUCGUAGGGUUAGUCGGGUCCUAAGUCGAGUCCGAAAGGGGUAGACGAUGGCAAAUUGGUUAAUAUUCCAAUACCAACAUUAGUGUGCGAUGGAAGGACGCUUAGGGCUAAGGGGGCUAGCGGAUGGAAGUGCUAGUCUAAGGUCGUAGGAGGUUAUACAGGCAAAUCCGUAUAACAAUACUCCGAGAACUGAAAGGCUUUUUGAAGUCUUCGGAUGGAUAGAAGAACCCCUGAUGCCGUCGAGCCAAGAAAAGUUUCUAAGUUUAGCUAAUGUUGCCCGUACCGUAAACCGACACAGGUGGGUGGGAUGAGUAUUCUAAGGCGCGUGGAAGAACUCUCUUUAAGGAACUCUGCAAAAUAGCACCGUAUCUUCGGUAUAAGGUGUGGUUAGCUUUGUAUUAGGAUUUACUCCGAAAGCGAAGAAACUUACAACAAAGAGUCCCUCCCGACUGUUUACCAAAAACACAGCACUCUGCUAACUCGUAAGAGGAUGUAUAGGGUGUGACGCCUGCCCGGUGCUCGAAGGUUAAUUGAUGGGGUUAGCAUUAGCGAAGCUCUUGAUCGAAGCCCGAGUAAACGGCGGCCGUAACUAUAACGGUCCUAAGGUAGCGAAAUUCCUUGUCGGUUAAAUACCGACCUGCAUGAAUGGCGUAACGAGAUGGGAGCUGUCUCAAAGAGGGAUCCAGUGAAAUUGUAGUGGAGGUGAAAAUUCCUCCUACCCGCGGCAAGACGGAAAGACCCCGUGGACCUU